UGUUGGGUUAAGUCCCGCAACGAGCGCAACCCUUGUCUUUAGUUGCCAUCAUUAAGUUGGGCACUCUAGAGAGACUGCCAGGGAUAACCUGGAGGAAGGUGGGGAUGACGUCAAAUCAUCAUGCCCCUUAUGCUUAGGGCUACACACGUGCUACAAUGGGUAGUACAGAGGGUUGCCAAGCCGUAAGGUGGAGCUAAUCCCUUAAAGCUACUCUCAGUUCGGAUUGUAGGCUGAAACUCGCCUACAUGAAGCUGGAGUUACUAGUAAUCGCAGAUCAGAAUGCUGCGGUGAAUGCGUUCCCGGGUCUUGUACACACCGCCCGUCACACCACGGGAGUUGGAG
rnacentral:rRNA from 1 species